AUUGAACGCUGGCGGCAGGCCUAACACAUGCAAGUCGAGCGGAAGAAGGGAGCUUGCGCCUGGAUUCAGCGGCGGACGGGUGAGUAAUGCCUAGGAAUCUGCCUGGUAGUGGGGGAUAACGUCCGCAAACGGGCGCUAAUACCGCAUACGUCCUGAUGCAGAAAGUGGGGGAGCUUCGGACCUCACGCUAUCAGAUGAGCCUAGGUCGGAUUAGCUAGUUGGUGGGGUAAAGGCCUACCUAGGCGACGAUCCGUAACUGGUCUGAGAGGAUGAUCAGUCACACUGGAACUGAGACACGGUCCAGACUCCUACGGGAGGCAGCAGUCGGCAACAUUGGACAAUGGGCGAAAGCCUGAUCCAGCCAUGCCGCGUGUGUGACGAAGGUCUUCCGAUUGUAAAGCACUUUUAGUUGGGAGGAAGGGCAGUAAGUUAAUACCUUGCUGUUUUGACGUUACCAACAGAAUAAGCACCGGCUAACUUUGUG
rnacentral:rRNA from 1 species